CACAGUCGGAAUCCCGGAGAGCUGCGAGAGACUGGGAGUGAAGGGGGAAGGAGAAAGCUGCUACCUGAGCAGACAGCAAACUGAGUUUUUCCCUUUUCACCGGAUCUACACAUCCAAGAUUCAUUGAGAAUGAGAAUCACUUCCUCUGAGGCCACACUCAAGAGCUUGGGUUGGCCUCAGGUGUUCAGUGAGGAGUCUUGGUGCUACUUGUUGGUAGUUUUAGUCCUGUUGGGUCGAGAUGUGGAGCUAACAAGUCCAAGUUGUCUUUGGUUCCCAUUCUGGCUUAGUUUUUAGUCUUUUGUUUUUUCCUUCUUUUGGUGAGGCCACAUUCAACCACCAGUUUCCAUCUUCUGAGUGCAAAGAACCAGGGCUUUAACAAAACAUUUCACCAGCAAUUCAAGAGGGAAUUGGAACCAUUGUGGAGUUUGCAUUGUACGGCCUCUGUAAUUACGUACCUGUCUGCAGAUGAGAGGCUGAAUUUUGCUCCCAUCAAGUCAACACAGGUUUUUGUUGUUGUUGACUUCACUGGGAGCAGGAUUGAGCCAUACUAUAUAUAUAAAUAUAUAUAUAAAUAUAUAUGUGAUAUAUAUAUAAUAUUAUAUGUGUAAUAUUAUAUAUAUAUCAGUGUAAUAUUUACAAAUAAAACUGUGAUCUCGUCUAGAGAAAAAUGUAUUCAUAUUACCAACUGCUCUUCCAUAUUUAUGUAUCAUAUUGUAUCUUUUUAUUAUAAUUAUUAUGAUUAUUAUGGUUAUUAUUAUUAUUAUUAUUAUGGAAUCUUUCUUGGCACCUUUUGGAAGCCACGUCAACCAAUACUCCAAUGAAGUGCUGAGGAUCUAUUUUCACAAGAAUUCUACUGGUCUACUGUAUAAAAGAGAAAAGAAAAAAAAAAAAGAAACAAGCAAAAUACAGUUCAACCCUUAAUUCUGUACCUCACGCCUGUACGUUUGCUGCUCCAAUUUUGGGUUUUAUUUUGCGUUCGUUUGUUUUUAACGGAUCUAAUUUAAGUCUCCAAGCAAUAUAUAAAGAUGUAAAUAGUAAAGCUUAUUUAUUAAGAUUGUCAUCUUUUUUAAUUUAUAUUUACACAAUUGUUCAUCUAAUUUAUUUUUUUUUCAAUACAGUUUUUAACAGUUGUCCUUUUUGGUUCAUGAUGUUUUUUAAAUCAUUUUCACAGAAUUUCUUUAUACAGCUUUUUCUCUUUCUUUGAAUAAGCAACAACUUCCUCUGGUCCUUCAAAAACAGGUCAUGUUUCACUCCAAAAAAAAAAAGUUAUGUCAGAUUCAUCAGAAAUAUUUUGCCAUUGUUGAUUCCUAUACCCUAAAGUUCUAUAUUAUAUAAAUAUAUAAUACCUUGUAUGCUUAAAUAUUUAACUGUGUGAUUUUGUAUAUAUCUUCAUACACAUGCUCACACACAUAUGAGGGUUAAUGUCCCCAGAUGUUGGGAGAACAGAGAAUCAGAAACACAAACAAUAUAAGCUUGUAUUAAAGAGUUCUGAACUGGA